GACCGCCCCGGUACGGGCGGCAGCAGCCGCCAUCUUAACUGCGGGCAGGGCUCGGCGGUGCCAUGUCCCUUGAGGGCGGCUGUGGGACACGCUGUGGGAGCGCGCCCAGGGCGCUGCAGGAGGCCCUAAGCAGUAACAACAAGCUGUUGCCUGCCAGGCGUGAACGCCUUGUUUCCCUGCACGGAGUGCAAAGUUUUGCAAGAGGUCGGAGGUCUGGGAUCCGGCCGGUUGAGCUGGGUGUGCACAGCUAAAAGCCUUGGGAGGAACUUGGCAGGAUGAAGCCUGUCAUCGUGGUGCAUGGUGGAGCUGGACGGAUCUUCAAAGAGCGAGAAGAGGGAUGUCGUGCUGGCACUGCCAGAGCUGCGCUUCGAGGUUAUGGUGUCCUGAAACGUGGAGGAAGUGCCAUAGAUGCAGUUGAGGAGGCAGUACAGUCAAUGGAAGAUGAUCCUCAUUUUAAUGCAGGUUGUGGAUCUGUUCUAAAUGAAAAAGGUGAAGUAGAAAUGGAUGCCAUUAUAAUGGAUGGAAAAACUUUAGACUCUGGAGCCGUAUCUGCAGUUAAAUGCAUAGAAAACCCAAUAAAACUUGCUCGACUUGUUAUGGAAAAGACAAAGCACAUGCUGCUGACUGAUCAGGGUGCACACCUGUUUGCUCGGGCUAUGGGUAUUCCUGAGGUUCCAGGGGAGAAACUAAUAACAGAGAGAUCCCGUGAGAGGUGGAAGAAGAACCUUGAGCCGGAUUCCAACCCUGGAGAGUUUCAGAAAGACCUUGGAACAGUCGGUGCUGUUGCUAUAGACAGUGAAGGCAAUGUAGCUUGUGCAACAUCCACUGGAGGACUCUCUAAUAAACUGAUUGGCCGUGUUGGUGACACAGCAUGCAUAGGAAGUGGAGGUUAUGCUGACAACCAUUCUGGUGCCACUUCAACCACAGGACAUGGGGAGAGCAUUAUGAAAGUGGUCUUAGCCCGACUGAUCCUCUAUCACAUGGAGCAAGGAAUGUCACCAGAGGUGGCAGCGGACACUGCAUUAGACUACAUGAAGACACGAGUUGGGGGCCUGGGGGGUGUCAUUGUUGUCAACAAAGCAGGACAGUGGGCAGCAAGGUUCUCCACCAAGCAAAUGGCCUGGGCUACUGUAAAGGAUGAUGAGCUGCAUUAUGGGAUUUAUGCUGGGGAGGAGCAUGUAAAACCUCUUGGUGAUGCACUUGCAAGUGAGGGACUCUAAGCAUGAAGAAAUGUUGGCUGAGGAAGAAUGAAAAUCUCCAAUUUUCACUGGAGGACAAUGACAGUUGAUUUUGUCUUUCUGAAAGAUGUUGCAGAUGACUGCAUAUGGAAAGUGAUGGUUCAAGAGAAGAUGGCACAAUCAAAACAUAACCUUGGAGUACUCGUAUACAUUGUUCAACAGAAGAUCAUGAAGGAAAUGGCUGCUACCUCAUCAUCAAAUGUUCAUAAAACAGUAUCAGUAUUUCUGAUGUGCUUAUUAGUAGAAAGAAGUGGCCUUUCUUUGAGUAAAAAUUGAUUUAUUUCCCCAUCUGGGCAUAAGAUACCAAUCCUACAGGGCCAGGUUGUUCUUGGGGGGGUGGAAGGGCAGUAUUGGCAUAGCUUCAUUUCAAAAAUACAUCCAAAAUAUUUGUGAUAUUUACCUCACCUGUCUAUAGUGGAAGACCAAAUUCAGGAAACAGAAAAUAUGAUCUCCAUGCAUGCAGCCAAAAUUCACUUUGCAGCACUGUUUUCAUGGAUGUUUUCAAGGAUGCUUUGUAGAGCUAAAUGGUGAUACAGAGGCUUGAAUGUAAGCUGUACACAAGAAUACAAAUAUCUUGUCAUAUACCAGCUUUGUCAGCUUAGGUUCUCUAUGGAAGGCAUAUUCCCAGUAACAUUUCCUUUGCUUGAAGUAGCUGGGGGGAGGAGCAUUUAACCAGUACUGCUGUAACACCUGGCGUACCAUCUUUGUUGAGCUCUGUUUAUUUGUUGUGUUUUUUGAGUGGAUGUAAGCCUGUUCUGGUCACUCUCCAAGCUGACCAAAACCCAAGUGAUGGUUAGGGUAUCGUCAAGCAUAAGCUAAUACACCUGCUGGGUAGUUUGUUGGCGAGGGCUUGGCACUACACUAGCCCCAACAGUUGGCUUUUGGUUAGCUUUGAACGGGUUCACGUCAGCCAAAAAGGUACUGGCAACCACAGCAGCACUGCAGACAGGAUCUCAGGGAUGUCAGAAGGAGUAGUAAAUGUCUGCUGUGGUUAAUUCACCUCAUCUGUUCUCAGGAAUAUAAUGUAAUAAAUUUCUGGCACUUGACAAAGGGCAGUAUCCUCUAUAGGUUCUUCUGUUGCUCAUCACCAGACUAGCUGGGCACCUUCCAACAGUGCAUUAAGCAGUGUGACUACCAUCUGGUCUGUAUGAUUUGUUCUGUCUAACCUGCCCCUUGGUAGCAUGCUCUGUAUUCCUUUCUCAUGAAAAAGUCUGUUUUUCAAAAACAUGCAUGGGCUGUUAUGCCUUUCCAGUUCAUGUGGGUCUGGGAAUGAGGAACUGUGCCUUGCAUAUGAAUUGAUGACAUUUGAUAAUCCUUAGGCUGCAGUUUGCUCCUCAGUUCAAAUGACAUCAGCCCAGACAAAGCACUGGUACCAGCAUUCAGGGCUACAUGCUUUUCUUCCAGCUAGCUGACCAAAUCAAUGCUCCUCAGUAAAGGUAUGUGAUUUCCUCACCUAAUCUGGUAGACCUAGGACAGUGUUUCUCUUCCUCAUAAGGAGGAAUGAUAGCAAAUGGUCAGGGAUGGGGUAGACCUUAUUCUUGAAGAAGCUGGAGAGCUAGGGAUGAAAGAGUUUUUCUCUCUAUUGCUUUACCCUUUCAGUCAUGUUCUUUAGCUAGAACAGGAUGAGAUUUUGUUGCCAUGGUGUAAGAAGUUGCUGGUGUUGCACAGGACUGGCUAAUUUUUAAAUAUGCUUAUGUGUCCCCUGACCUUUGUGAAUACUGAGAAAUUACCCUUUCUAAGGGCUUUAACAUUUAACAGCUUUUAUAAAUGUAGUUGCAAGAUGCUGAACUUAAGGGAGAUACCAACAGCAGGACGGGAAGUUGUGUAUCCCUGCUGUGCACUGCUGCUGGAAAUGAGCCUCUAAUCCAAAUGGCUGUGACCUGGAUAUCAAAGAAGGAAAAUUAGAGGUCUGUUGCCAAGAAACUGGGUGUCCUUGGCAUCUAGCAAAGCAGCAACAGUUUUAAUUAUCUAAUUAAAGUGUGGCAUACUAUUAUUUUAUAUCAUUUAGAAAGCCAGUUGUGAAUGUUGUCCUGUUUCUUUCUCAGUACUCUGUAGAAAGGGUCCCUGACCUGCGCAGGUGGCCAGGAUGGGUAUACAUAUCAAAGCCAAGACAUUAACAAAACCAUCAGAGCGGUAAUCAUUGACUUUGUUCAUAUAUUGUUAGGUCUGUGUGGGUUUUACUUCUUAAUCUUUGCAAGUUACAAGUAAUUAAAAACUGUU